rnacentral:rRNA from 1 species
UUUGGUUAAGUUAGAAAGGGCGCACGGUGGAUGCCUUGACACUAGGAGUCGAUGAAGGACGGGACUAACGCCGAUAUGCUUCGGGGAGCUGUAAGUAAGCUUUGAUCCGAAGAUUUCCGAAUGGGGAAACCCACCAUACGUAAUGGUAUGGUAUCCUUAUCUGAAUACAUAGGGUAAGGAAGACAGACCCAGGGAACUGAAACAUCUAAGUACCUGGAGGAAGAGAAAGCAAAUGCGAUUUCCUGAGUAGCGGCGAGCGAAACGGAACAUAGCCCAAACCAAGAGGCUUGCCUCUUGGGGUUGUAGGACAUUCUAUACGGAGUUACAAAGGAACGAGGUAGACGAAGCGACCUGGAAAGGUCCGUCGUAGAGGGUAACAACCCCGUAGUCGAAACUUCGUUCUCUCUUGAAUGUAUCCUGAGUACGGCGGAACACGUGAAAUUCCGUCGGAAUCUGGGAGGACCAUCUCCCAAGGCUAAAUACUCCCUAGUGAUCGAUAGUGAACCAGUACCGUGAGGGAAAGGUGAAAAGCACCCCGGAAGGGGAGUGAAAGAGAUCCUGAAACCGUGUGCCUACAAAUAGUCAGAGCCCGUUAACGGGUGAUGGCGUGCCUUUUGUAGAAUGAACCGGCGAGUUACGAUCCCGUGCGAGGUUAAGCUGAAGAGGCGGAGCCGCAGCGAAAGCGAGUCUGAAUAGGGCGUUUAGUACGUGGUCGUAGACCCGAAACCAGGUGAUCUACCCAUGUCCAGGGUGAAGUUCAGGUAACACUGAAUGGAGGCCCGAACCCACGCACGUUGAAAAGUGCGGGGAUGAGGUGUGGGUAGCGGAGAAAUUCCAAUCGAACCUGGAGAUAGCUGGUUCUCCCCGAAAUAGCUUUAGGGCUAGCCUUAAGUGUAAGAGUCUUGGAGGUAGAGCACUGAUUGGACUAGGGGUCCUCAUCGGAUUACCGAAUUCAGUCAAACUCCGAAUGCCAAUGACUUAUCCUUAGGAGUCAGACUGCGAGUGAUAAGAUCCGUAGUCAAAAGGGAAACAGCCCAGACCGCCAGCUAAGGUCCCAAAGUGUGUAUUAAGUGGAAAAGGAUGUGGAGUUGCUUAGACAACUAGGAUGUUGGCUUAGAAGCAGCCACCAUUUAAAGAGUGCGUAAUAGCUCACUAGUCGAGUGACUCUGCGCCGAAAAUGUACCGGGGCUAAAUACACCACCGAAGCUGCGGAUUGAUACCGAAUGGUAUCAGUGGUAGGGGAGCGUUCUAAGGACAGUGAAGUCAGACCGGAAGGACUGGUGGAGUGCUUAGAAGUGAGAAUGCCGGUAUGAGUAGCGAAAGACGGGUGAGAAUCCCGUCCACCGAAUGCCUAAGGUUUCCUGAGGAAGGCUCGUCCGCUCAGGGUUAGUCAGGACCUAAGCCGAGGCCGACAGGCGUAGGCGAUGGACAACAGGUUGAUAUUCCUGUACCACCUCUUUAUCGUUUGAGCAAUGGAGGGACGCAGAAGGAUAGAAGAAGCGUGCGAUUGGUUGUGCACGUCCAAGCAGUUAGGCUGAUAAGUAGGCAAAUCCGCUUAUCGUAAAGGCUGAGCUGUGAUGGGGAAGCUCCUUAUGGAGCGAAGUCUUUGAUUCCCCGCUGCCAAGAAAAGCUUCUAGCGAGAUAAAAGGUGCCUGUACCGCAAACCGACACAGGUAGGCGAGGAGAGAAUCCUAAGGUGUGCGAGAGAACUCUGGUUAAGGAACUCGGCAAAAUGACCCCGUAACUUCGGGAGAAGGGGUGCUUUCUUAACGGAAAGCCGCAGUGAAUAGGCCCAAGCGACUGUUUAGCAAAAACACAGCUCUCUGCGAAGCCGUAAGGCGAAGUAUAGGGGGUGACACCUGCCCGGUGCUGGAAGGUUAAGGAGAGGGGUUAGCGUAAGCGAAGCUCUGAACUGAAGCCCCAGUAAACGGCGGCCGUAACUAUAACGGUCCUAAGGUAGCGAAAUUCCUUGUCGGGUAAGUUCCGACCCGCACGAAAGGUGUAACGAUUUGGGCACUGUCUCAACCAGAGACUCGGUGAAAUUAUAGUACCUGUGAAGAUGCAGGUUACCCGCGACAGGACGGAAAGACCCCGUGGAGCUUUACUGUAGCCUGAUAUUGAAUUUUGGUACAGUUUGUACAGGAUAGGCGGGAGCCUUUGAAACCGGAGCGCUAGCUUCGGUGGAGGCGCUGGUGGGAUACCGCCCUGACUGUAUUGAAAUUCUAACCUACGGGUCUUAUCGACCCGGGAGACAGUGUCAGGUGGGCAGUUUGACUGGGGCGGUCGCCUCCUAAAGUGUAACGGAGGCGCCCAAAGGUUCCCUCAGAAUGGUUGGAAAUCAUUCGUAGAGUGCAAAGGCAUAAGGGAGCUUGACUGCGAGACCUACAAGUCGAGCAGGGACGAAAGUCGGGCUUAGUGAUCCGGUGGUUCCGCAUGGAAGGGCCAUCGCUCAACGGAUAAAAGCUACCCCGGGGAUAACAGGCUUAUCUCCCCCAAGAGUCCACAUCGACGGGGAGGUUUGGCACCUCGAUGUCGGCUCAUCGCAUCCUGGGGCUGUAGUCGGUCCCAAGGGUUGGGCUGUUCGCCCAUUAAAGCGGUACGCGAGCUGGGUUCAGAACGUCGUGAGACAGUUCGGUCCCUAUCCGUCGUGGGCGUAGGAAAUUUGAGAGGAGCUGUCCUUAGUACGAGAGGACCGGGAUGGACGCACCGCUGGUGUACCAGUUGUUCUGCCAAGGGCAUAGCUGGGUAGCUAUGUGCG